GAAAACACAUAUUACUCUUCCAAAGGAUGCCAAUAGCUAUUUCUGAACUGCUUCUCAUGGAGGCAGCUUCUGAGGAAAGGAGAUGUACUUGCAGGGCUAUUCUGGUCCUGGAUCUUCUAGGGAGGGAGAGGUAGAAAUAAAUUAAAAAAAAAAGUCUUGAGAAAUAAUGCUAGAAUUUCUUCCAGAGCAAGAAUGGAGGUCACAUUUCUGCAAACAGAUUGUUUAAAGAUCACAACGGAAUAAGACUUUUCUCUUGUACACAAGAGUUAGGAAGAGAACCGGCAAAGGAAAGAUUAUGCAGUGAGGUUUGGGAGGGGCUGCGGCAUGGGGAAGUAGAUUAGAACCAUAAGACUGAAGCUAGCAAGACAGCGAUCUGUGCGUAAUAGACUAUGACCAGAGGGCUUUAACGGCAAAGAGAAAACAGAGCGGCUCUAGCGCAGCGAUUGUGGAUGAUGCAGUUUUCCCUGACUGAAAACCUAAGGGCUCCUUGUUCGUUGAGAAGAAUUUAUGGUCAGCAAUCUCACAAUGAUAUUAAAAGGUAAACUCUUGCUGACUGAAGAAAUCGCUGCAGUUUAAGUCCGACCCCGUGUCUCAGAUUUAGGCGGCCUCAGCUAUCUAAAGAAGACUUGGCCUUUCAGUACUCACAAAAGGGCGAUGAGCAGCUUUGUCACAGUAGAUAUAGUUUGUAGAACUGUGAGUUUGGGUGCAGUUCUAUAGAAGCAUCACAGGCUGAGUGCCAUAAUCUUAACAUGGAAAAGAAUAGGCCUUAGGUAUAGCUCAGUGGAUAGUGUUUCCCAUCCGAGCCCAAAGACUAGAGUUUGGAUCUCUAGUACUGCCAUGAAAGUAAAAGCCUAGCAUUCAUGGUAGCCUGCCUGCAAUCCCAACCUUUGGGAGGCAAAGGCAUGAUCUCCCCAGAACAAGCAGGGUACAUAAGACGAUCAUUAAUAAUUACCUGCUGGUUAGUUCUUGACAUAGACUUUGUAUGCCUUAUGACUGCAUAUUAAAAAUAAUUCUUAUCUUAGUUCCAUUUCUUGUUUCUGUAAUAAAAUAAACUGGAAAAGUACUUUAAGGGGAUUGUGGGGGCGAUAGUUAGCUAUUGUAUUACAUCCAUUGUCAAGAGAAAGAACUUGUGACUUAAUGCAUGCACACAAGAGUGCCAGGCUCAGUACUCAGCUCAGUUUCUCUACUGCAGUUCAGUAGAGAGUUACAGAAUACUAUCACACAGGUUAGAAUUCCCUUUCUAGUGAAUGGGGUCACCCACAGUUGUCUUCUCACUUAGUUUCUAUAAUUAAGAUAAGGUCCCACAAACAUACUCAUAGGGCAAACUAAUCGAGAUGGACAUCCAGACUGCCUUUCUAGAUGAUUCUAGGUUGUGUCAAGUUGAUAAUUCAAAAUAAUCAUCAUGAUAUUUAUGGUGUCUUUACCUUUUUCUGAUGGCUAACCUAGUGCCAGGGUAAAGUUCUCUAACUACCCAUUUACAACAGCUCCCCUCCCACAGUGUCAUUGGUUUGCAGAGAAAUGCUGGAUUAAACAUCAUCAUAGACCAUUGUUAUAUAAAGCUCUUUUCAUAAUCCAGUGCCCCCAUAGGAUGAAACUACAAGAAAGUUAUAUGAAAUGCUGUCAUCUACCUGUGAACUGCACUGUGAAGAACGGUAACUCAUGUACAUUUUAACUUCAGGCAUAUUUUGUUCUGUAUGUUCUCAUCUUUGACCCCUUGAUUAAUUCCAGAAGGCCUUAGAAAAAAUAAUUCACAAGAUUCAUGAUAGUAUUAUAUAUGUCCUGCAUUGAGAAAGGCCUGUGUAAGAACCUCCUUCCAGUAGUCUAUGAGUUCCAAACAUGCCAUGUUUACUCCUAGAUCUGUGUCAAGACUUGUGUUUCAGAAAUUCUUCCAUGUCAUGCAACAUGCCUGGCGAGUCCCUUGAAACUCAAGAUCCACUCCCCCUCCAUUUUCCUGCAGAAAGGAACGGGUAUUCAACAGAGAACAACCAAGGAAGACAAAACAAAAUAGACUAAGACAAAGCAAAAGCCCUCAUAUUGAGGCUAGGCAAGGCAAGGCAACCAAAUAGCAGGCAAGAGUCAGAGAGGCACCUGUUUCCAUUGUUAGAAGUCCAACAAAAACACCACACUUAACAUAUGAGCAUAGGACCUGGUGCAGACCCUUGCAGGUCCCAUGCUUGCCACAGUUCCUGUGAGCCUAUUGAACCCUGCUUAGAUGAUUCAGUGUGGGUAGGCCAUGCUCCCCUGCUGUCCUCCACCCUGUCUAACUACUAUAAUCUUUCCUUUCCCUUUUCUGUGGUCCCCAAGCUUCAGGGGAAGGAACUUGAUGGAGAGCUCCAAUUUAGACAUUCUCUGCAUAAUGUCUAGCUGUGGAUUCUGCACCCACUCUGGCGUGCUGCCAAGAGGAGUGGAAGCCUUUCUGAUGAUGACUGGACAAAGAUUAAUCUAUGAGUGUAUCAGAACAUCAACUGGAAUAAUUUCUUUGUGGUUUUGUUUUGUUUUGUUUUAUAUGGCUGGUCCGAUUUGAUUCUACCCUAGGUCUCUGGGCCAUCCAGUGUCUAGUUCCUGGGCAUCCUGGCAGUACAGGGAAGGAGUUUCCACUCAUGGAAUGUGCCUCUAGUUAAACCAGACUUUGGGUGACCGCUUCUGUACAUUCUGUGCCACCAUCGUCCUAGCAUAUUUUGCAGACAGGACAGAUCGUAGGUCAUAGGUUUUCGGGCUGGGUUGAUGUCCAUGUUUCUCUUUCCAAAACCUGCAAUGUAUCUUCCUAGACCAAUAGGACUAGAAUGUAGAGGUGAAAGCGACUUGGAGGCACCAGCUUGACCUCUCUAUUUUCAAUGAACUAUGUGAAUGUUGUAUUCAGCAAUUCGGUCCCUGCUAUCAGUUUGCAGAGAGCAAUUGUCUUAGUCAGGGUUUCUAUUCCUGCACAAACAUCAUGACCAAGAAGCAAGUUGGGGAAGAAAGGGUUUAUUCGGCUUACACUUCCAUACUGCUGUUCUUCACCAAAGGAAGUCAGGACUGGAACUCAAGCAGGUCAGAAAGCAGGAGCUGAUGCAGAGGCCAUGGAGGGAUAUUCUUCACUGACUUGCUUCCCCUGGCUUGCUCAGCCUGCUCUCUUAUAGAACCAAGACUACCAGCCCAGAGAUGGUCCCACCCACCAGGGGCCUUUCCCCCUUGAUCACUAAUUGAGAAAAUGCCUUACAGUUGUAUCUCAUGGAGGCAUUUCUUCAACUGAAGCUCCUUUCUCUGUGAUAACUCCAGCUGUGUCAAGUUGACACAAAACUAGCCAGUACAGCAAUCCUCUGCCCUAGAAUCAGCAUACGUUAUUUGGGUUUCUUCAUGGCAACCCAUGGCCAACUUAUCUGCAUACAUCCCUUACCUACCACUGGAACCCUGGCCUGGUUACCAAAGAUGUCCAGUUCAGACUUUAUGUCCUCCAUUACUAGGACUCUUCAUUAGGAUAGUCCUCAGAGCUUCCAGGAAGUUGUUACUGCUCUGGCUUUCCACACUGACUCCUAAAUGACCUCUAAUUUCAGCCAUCUCUCCUCAAAUACUCUUCCUCCAAUCCCCUCACCCAAUAAUUCCUGCUCCCAUGCCACCAUACCACCCCUGAAAUCUAUUCUAUCUCCCUUUCACCAGGAAGUCCAUGGGUUCUUUCUACCCCAGCCCUCCUCUUUACUUAACUUCUCUGAGCCUGUGGAUUGUAUCUUGAUUAUCAUUAUUUUAAGACUAAUAUCCACUUAUGAAUGAAGAUAUACAAUAAUUGUCUUUCUGGGUCUGGAUUACCUCAGUCAGGAUGACUUUUUUCUUGUUACAUCUGUUUGCCUGCAAAUUUCAGGAUGUUAUUAUUUUUAACAGCUGAGUAAUAUUCCAUUGGUAAAUGUAUCACAUUUUCUUCAUCUUUUCUUUGGCUGAGUAGCAUCAGAUGUGAGAGUGAUCUGUGAGAGUGAUCUGGGUUUGAGAUCUAUCACCCCAUUGAUCAGGAUUGAUUUGGUUGAUCUAACUUCCCUUUCACACCACUCCAUGCAGAAACUCCAAGCUGCAUACUCACGGAAAGAGGAUGAGAUUUCUAAAAUAGAGAAGUAGCUGCUAGGGUUUAGGUCUAGUUGAGAUCUCCUCCUAGAGCCUCCAAACACACCUCUCAGGAACAAUGCCUUCUUAAAAACAUGCAAACGAAGUAGAACAAGGUGGCUACACCCUUGCAGAAUCUUUAUAUGUAGCUGUUUACAUAGUAUCCCAAUGAGUUAGAAAGUAUAUAUUGAAAGCAUACAUUGGAAGUAUACAUUGAAAUCAAAGAGAUGCUGUCUAGUACAGCAUAUCCUUUCAGAGUGCUUACCCUCUAUGUUGGAUGACACUCUGGAUCCUUAGAGUAGGAGAUCCUGCUUCCCUUUGCCACUCUUGCAUAGAAUACAACUGGCCUGAAACUCCACCUCCCACUUUUGCUUAAUAACAGAAGGCUGUUAUGACUUUGCAAAUAUCCCAUUCUUCCCUAGAGAAGAAGGUUUAACGGGAUGAUGAUUUUGGGAACCAGUAGAUGGUUUGCAUCUCCAUGAAAGGGCAUCUCUAGGCCUUCACAGCCAUAAUCAUAAGGAUGCGAGAAAGUACGAUAAGUCACAUGGGAUCAUUUUUCCUUGGCUAAGUCAUAUAUACUCUACAUUAAAAAAUAAUUAGGUAAUUACUCACUGAUGUCUUUUUCUCCUAAGCACCUAUAACUAGAAAUCAGGAGAUUAGAAUGUAGAAUCUUUCUUAUCUAGUAGUUAAUGAAAUUUAGGUUUUGCAAAAUAAUUUUCCAGGGUAAGUUGAGGGGAACAUUAUGAAAACAAUAUCUUACUAUGAAUAUUCUCUAAUUAGAUCACUUUUCAUCAGUUUAUUUUUGUUGCUGUUUUGUUUUCUUUUCUUUUCUCUACUUCAUGGAAAUUCUGGGUGUAUAAGCCCUUAUGCAACUCUAUCUUUUUAAUUUAUAAAAUGAACUUAAAAUGUUCUCUUUAUUGCGAAUGCACAUACAAAAUAAUGUCUGGCAAGAGAGUAGAACAACGGGUGUGGACUCUGAACCCAUGUUCUCUGACUACAGAACACAAGGUCAGGCCACUGGCUUCCUUAGCAGCCUGGGUUCCAUCUUCACAGGUGACUGCUUUUCUACAUGUGGUGUUGGGCACUUGUGACCUUUGUUUUAUUUAUUUUUUGUUUUUGUUUUUGUUUUUGUUUUUUGUUUUUUUGUUUUUUUCCUUUUUGUUUAAGGUGAGAUAGGAUGACUUCAUGACAGACUUCAAAUUGGCAGUUGAAGGGACUAGGCUUAAGAACUGAGAAAGUCCAGGAAAACCCAGGCAAGCAGUUACUAGAAAACAAAAACAACAACAACAACAAAAACAAAAACAAAAACCAAACAACCAUACUUCAAGCAGCUAGUCAGAAACUAGAAGCUGCCCAGCCACCUAGCCUGAAGCAAGGACAAUGGACAGCAGAUCAGCAAGUUUCCAGACCUCCCUGGUAAUGGAAUGUUCCUAGAGAUGAAAUAAGAUAAAGGCCAACUACCUUGGACUUCCUCAUUAACACUUUGAAGCCCCCCACCCCCCACCCCAGUGCCCCAGUAAUGGGAUGCUCAGAGAUGGAGUCAGAUAGAGUUCCCCUACCCCAGUGUUCCCUUAAUGUGCUUUAAAUUGGGCCUGUGAGCUCGUUUGAUUUUCUCUCCAUUUUGGAAUGAGGGACCCACACAUGCUAGAUUUAGGCAGAAUAAAACACUUCUUGCUUUUGCAAACUACUUGAGUCUGGGGUAUCACUCUUCAGCAAACAACGGAUCCUUACAAAGAAAGGGACUUAAUUUACUGAUAUAUUGGAUUUUUUUAAAAAGUAGAUAAAUAUGAAUUUCAAUAGAAGCUGUUAACUUUAUGAGUAAUAUAUAAUCUCAGAGGAUGAAUUGGGCAACAACUAUUCAAAAUUACACCAACAAUUGGACAGCUUAUUCAUUUCUUCUAGAAAUGGAUUGAUCAUUGCAAGAGCCCAGCAAUUCUUGGAUCAGCAUGUUCAAAUUAACAAAAUCUUAUAUUCUAAGACAUGGCUUCAGACUGGAAGGAAUCUUUUACUUUUAAUAAUUUAGAUAUUUUUACAUAUUUUUCCCUCUUUGGUCUUUUGAGCCAGGGUCUUACACAGUCUGGGCUGGUCUAGCCUUCACUAUGUAACAGAUGCUUGCUUUGAACUACCCUGACCCUUCUUCCUCCAUCUCCUACGUGCUAGUAUAAUAGGUAUGUGCCAUUUUGCCCAACAGAAGAUUUUGCAUCUUAAGCUAAAUGGAUAUAUUAGUUAUUAUAUUACUAAGUGAAUAUAUUAUAAAUCUAAAUGAAUAUAUGUUAUUAUUUUCAAGUUCACAUGGAAGAAUCUUUCUGUCUCCUCUGAUGUAACUAUUGGAAUCAGUCAGUGGGUCCAAUUUGUGCUGUACUGUAUCCUAUCACUGUAAAGUUGGCUGUUUCAAACAUCA